rnacentral:lncRNA from 1 species
AUUUUGUAACCGGAAGUGGUCAAUACCUCCCUUAUUUUACAUAUAAGUCCAUACAAACCAUAUAUAUUCGUAAUCAGGAUAAAAUUAUCUUUCAAGUGAUACCGGAAGUAAAAAUUUUCAAACCGGAAGUUGCUGUAUUUUUACCUUAUUUGAAGUAAAAAUGCAUAGAAACCAUAUAUUUUUGGGAUCAGGUUAAGAUUAAUCAUCUUUUAACCUCUUUAUUACCUUUUUAAAUAUUUUUUUCUUUUUUUC